rnacentral:rRNA from 1 species
UGGGGAAUUUUGGACAAUGGGCGCAAGCCUGAUCCAGCCAUACCGCGUGAGUGAAGAAGGCCUUCGGGUUGUAAAGCUCUUUCAGACGGAAAGAAACGGUUACGGCUAAUACCCGUGACUAAUGACGGUACCGUAAGAAGAAGCACCGGCUAACUACGUGCCAGCAGCCGCGGUAAUACGUAGGGUGCGAGCGUUAAUCGGAAUUACUGGGCGUAAAGCGUGCGCAGGCGGUUUGGUAAGACAGAUGUGAAAUCCCCGGGCUUAACCUGGGAACUGCAUUUGUGACUGCCAGACUAGAGUGUAGCAGAGGGGGGUAGAAUUCCACAUGUAGCAGUGAAAUGCGUAGAUAUGUGGAGGAAUACCGAUGGCGAAGGCAGCCCCCUGGGCUAACACUGACGCUCAUGCACGAAAGCGUGGGGAGCAAACAGGAUUAGAUACCCAGGUAGUCCCUGAGCGGGCUGGCAAGGCGCAU